AAGGACAGAGCUUUUUCAAGGUUAAAAGAGAAACUGCGGGGUGCAGGCAGAACACAAUCUGCCAUGUCUGUAAUGAUUGCUACUGUGGUGGUGUGCUCAGUACAAGCCUGUUUGAUCAUAUCAGAAGACGACCUUGGGCGCACUGCGCUCACAAAUGACAAGAGAGCGGCAAUAAUAUACACUUUGAGAUUUGUUAAAUGAACAGAUUAGGAUAAUGUCCUUUUGGUGAGUGUUGUUCACACAAGACUUUUGGAACACCACCAAACCUACUCGGAACCAUCAACAGCCUGUACACUUACUAUUCAUAAAGAACCGGAAUGACAUGGUCAUCGCAGUAACCACCACCCACUGCAAGCUAAAAAAAAGGAGUCCAUAGCCGGGCCAAAUAACUCAAGUGCCUGUGAAGACAUCAUCUUUCUUCGUGACAACACACAGCAGUCCAAUUCCAACAGUUCUUUCCAUGCAAGCGCCCUCCUUAUGUCCAUCUGUAUCUGAAAGAGACGAGAGACUGUUUUACCUCUGCAAGUCAAAAGUAAGCUAUAUCAAAGAGGCUGACUGUAAACAUACUAUAUAUGGGACAUGUCAAAAUACAGUAAUGCUAUUGUUUAAAAUG